rnacentral:rRNA from 1 species
GAUGAACGCUGGCGGCGUGCCUAAUACAUGCAAGUCGAGCGAAUGGAUUAAGAGCUUGCGCUUAUGAAGUUAGCGGGGGACGGGUGAGUAACACGCGGGUAACCUGCCCAUAAGACUGGGAUACCUCCGGGAAACCGGGGCUAAUACCGGGUAACAUUUUGAACCGCAUGGUUCGAAAUUGAAAGGCGGCUGCGGCUGUCACUUAUGGAUGGACCCGCGUCGCAUUAGCUAGUUGGUGAGGUAACGGCUCACCAAGGAAACGAUGCGUAGCCGACCUGGGAGGGUGAUCGGCCACACUAGGACUGAGACACGGCCCAGACUCCUACGGGAGGCAGCAGUAGGGAAUCUUCCGCAAUGGUCGAAAGUCUGACGGAGCAACGCCGCGUGAGUGAUGAAGGCUUUCGGGUCGUAAAACUCUGUUGUUAGGGAAGAACAAGUGCUAGUUGGAUAAGCUGGCACCUUGACGGUACCUAACCAGAAAGCCACGGCUAACUACGUGCCAGCAGCCGCAGUAA